rnacentral:lncRNA from 1 species
GUAAUAUAGUUUGUGUUAAGUAUUGUCGAACUGAGAACAUGCUAGCUGAUGUAAUGACAAAAGCUUUACCAAAGGUAUCUUUUGAAAGGUUUAGAGACAUGAUGGGAGUAAAAGACAUUGUAUGAUCAAAUGACAUUCAGAUGCAUUUGAGUUGACAUUUUUUAGUUUAUAGGUUUAAUGACAUAAUGAACUUACAUAGUGUAGUCAUUAAGUGGGAGUGUUGAACUGCAUACUUCAUGUAGUUCAACAUUGGUAUAAUGACUCACUUAGUGUUAGAUUAAGUCACGUGAUAGGGAUGCAUGCUUUUGUUCUUUUAUAUGCUUCGCUAAGCAGGUUUUAUACGUCCUGUAUACUUCUCAUUAAAACUACAAUGAAAUACGGUUACGGUUAAAGUCGAUCAGUUUCUAACAAGUUUUGUUUACAAAUUCUACAUUGUAUGCAUGAAUGUAUACAUAGUAUUUGUAAAUAUUAAGUUAAUUCAUCUAUUACGUAUUUUCUCUAAUAAAAAUCUUGUAACAGGAAAUGUGAGUUUCAGAAAAUGUGUGUCUGAGUGUCUCAGACAAAAUUAUUCUAGAAUAUUUAUUAAAAUAUCUCACCUACAAACAAUAAAUUCCCAUGCAUGAAUAGUGAUCCAAUCACAUUUUGUCCUGAUACAUGAAAGCGAGUUGCCCAGGCUAAACCGGCAUACAUGACAUAAUUAUUGAAAAAGCCUAAUUUGUUGUAUAAAUCUGUCUAACUACUCACUUGGUAAUGACUUUAACCUGCAACAAGAGUUAUCAUGCAAAUGUGCAACUCCCUGUUGUUGUUAUAUACUAAUACUACUUUACAUAUAACCCAUUGAGUCGCAUUGCGGCCCGAUGCGCCCUACUUUAUUGUUUCACUCUGUCUAACGCCAGACGAUUUUACUUGUCAAGGGGGGAGUGCUGGCCCUUAAUGGGUUAAACAUUAACAAAAUUAAAUAGUAUAAAAAAUACAAUUCAACCUCAAUGCUCAAUGAAGUGGCCAUAAAGUAGACUGGGGGAGGGGGGUCCAAUGUCUAUUUAUUCAAUCAUAAAUCACUGAUUACAGUAAUAGGUAGACUGAAAAGAUCAAGAAGUGUUAACGAACAGUGAUACAAAAACUUACAUUGACCUGUUGGUGUCGACAUGUGUUGAACAUUAUAUUUACUGUGUGAUUAAUAUGUGUAUAAAGCAAAAUAUUAAGCAUGAUUCGUAAAGGAGGGCUGCUUAAUGGAGGUUCGGCUAUAGGAGUCUCAUAUUGGCCGCUGUCUGGAAAGUUUGUAGUUUGCGGCAUAAUACUAUUUUACCUAUUAAAACAAAAAUUAGCUGCACCCUUUGCAAACUUUCCAGUCAGGAAUAUUGCAUAGUUUGUGAGACUUGUGUAAACAAAACAGAUUUUAUAGAAUGUUAAAUAUUGAAUUCCAUUUAGUCAGUGUGCUAAUAUCCUACACAUGUAGUCUAUACUAACAUUAGAGGAAACCUGUCCAAUAUACCCAAAUUAUAUAUUUUUGUAAUUUGCUGUUUGUAGACUAGGUGAGGUAUUUAAUUUUAUAAUAAUUUUUGUCUGAGACACAGUUUCUGAAACUCACAUAGGCGUACCGGGCGGGGGGGCGGCAGCCCCCCCAGUUUUUUGGGCAGUCGGGCAAUAUUCGAUCAACAGUCGGGCAAUUUCGGUUUGCAAUAAAAAAAA